rnacentral:rRNA from 2 species
UGGAUCCAGACUUUGAUCAUGGCUCAGGAUGAACGCUAGCUACAGGCUUAACACAUGCAAGUCGAGGGGAAACGAUAUUGGAAGCUUGCUUCCGAUAGGCGUCGACCGGCGCACGGGUGAGUAACGCGUAUCCAACCUGCCCAUCACUUGGGAAUAACCUUGCGAAAGUAAGACUAAUGCCCAAUGACAUUUAUAGAAGACAUCUGAAAUGAAUUAAAGAUUUAUCGGUGAUGGAUGGGGAUGCGUCUGAUUAGCUUGUUGGCGGGGUAACGGCCCACCAAGGCGACGAUCAGUAGGGGUUCUGAGAGGAAGGUCCCCCACAUUGGAACUGAGACACGGUCCAAACUCCUACGGGAGGCAGCAGUGAGGAAUAUUGGUCAAUGGGCGAGAGCCUGAACCAGCCAAGUAGCGUGCAGGAUGACGGCCCUAUGGGUUGUAAACUGCUUUUAUAGGGGAAUAAAGUGAGCCACGUGUGGUUUUUUGCAUGUACCCUAUGAAUAAGGACUGGCUAAUUCCGUGCCAGCAGCCGCGGUAAUACGGAAGGUCCGGGCGUUAUCCGGAUUUAUUGGGUUUAAAGGGAGCGUAGGCCGGAGAUUAAGCGUGUUGUGAAAUGUAGAUGCUCAACAUCUGAACUGCAGCGCGAACUGGUUUCCUUGAGUACGCAUAAAGUGGGCGGAAUUCGUGGUGUAGCGGUGAAAUGCUUAGAUAUCACGAAGAACUCCGAUUGCGAAGGCAGCUCACUGGGGCGCAACUGACGCUGAAGCUCGAAAGCGCGGGUAUCGAACAGGAUUAGAUACCCUGGUAGUCCGCGCGGUAAACGAUGGAUGCCCGCUGUUGGGCCAACUGGUUCAGCGGCCAAGCGAAAGCAUUAAGCAUCCCACCUGGGGAGUACGCCGGCGACGGUGCAACUCAAAGGAAUUGACGGA